AUACGGAGGGUGCAAGCGUUAUCCGGAAUCACUGGGUUUAAAGGGUGCGUAGGCGGCGCAAUAAGUCAGAGGUGAAAGCCCCCAGCUUAACUGGGGAAUUGCCUUUGAUACUGUUGCGCUUGAAUCAGGUUGAGGUUAGCGGAAUGUGUCAUGUAGCGGUGAAAUGCAUAGAUAUGACAUAGAACACCAAUUGCGAAGGCAGCUGACUAGACCUGUAUUGACGCUGAGGCACGAAAGCGUGGGGGGCGAACAGGAUUAGAAACCCUAGUAGUCC
rnacentral:rRNA from 1 species